rnacentral:rRNA from 2 species
UUAAACUGAAGAGUUUGAUCCUGGCUCAGAUUGAACGCUGGUGGCAUGCUUAACACAUGCAAGUCGAACGGUAACAGGUCUUCGGAUGCUGACGAGUGGCGGACGGGUGAGUAACGCGUAGGAAUCUGCCCAUCUGUGGGGGAUACCAGUUGGAAACGACUGUUAAUACCGCAUAAUAUCUGCGGAUUAAAGGUGGCCUUUGCGCUGCCGCAGAUGGAUGAGCCUGCGUUGGAUUAGCUAGUUGGUGGGGUAAGGGCCUACCAAGGCUACGAUCCAUAGCUGAUUUGAGAGGAUGAUCAGCCACAUUGGGACUGAGACACGGCCCAAACUCCUACGGGAGGCAGCAGUGGGGAAUAUUGGACAAUGGGGGAAACCCUGAUCCAGCAAUGCCAUGUGUGUGAAGAAGGCUCUAGGGUUGUAAAGCACUUUAGUUGGGGAGGAAAGCCUGUGAGUUAAUAGCUUGCAGGAAGGACGUUGCCCAAAGAAUAAGGACCGGCUAACUCCGUGCCAGCAGCCGCGGUAAUACGGGGGGUCCGAGCGUUAAUCGGAAUUACUGGGCGUAAAGGGUCUGUAGGUGGUUUGUUAAGUCAGAUGUGAAAGCCCAGGGCUCAACCUUGGAACUGCAUUUGAUACUGACAAACUAGAGUAUGGUAGAGGAAUAGGGAACUUCUGGUGUAGCGGUGAAAUGCGUAGAGAUCAGAAGGAACACCAAUGGCGAAGGCAACAUUCUGGACCAAUACUGACACUGAGGGACGAAAGCGUGGGGAUCAAACAGGAUUAGAUACCCUGGUAGUCCACGCUGUAAACGAUGAGUACUAGCUGUUGGAUUCGGUGUAAAGGAUCUAGUGGCGCAGCUAACGCGUUAAGUACUCCGCCUGGGGACUACGGCCGCAAGGCUAAAACUCAAAGGAAUUGACGGGGACCCGCACAAGCGGUGGAGCAUGUGGGUUUAAUUCGAUGCAACGCGAAGAACCUUACCUGGUCUUGACAUCCUGCGAACUUUCUAGAGAUAGAUUGGUGCCUUCGGGAACGCAGUGACAGGUGCUGCACGGCUGUCGUCAGCUCGUGUUGUGAAAUGUUGGGUUAAGUCCCGCAACGAGCGCAACCCCUAUUGAUAGUUACCAUCAUUAAGUUGGGUACUCUAUUGAGACUGCCGCUGACAAGGCGGAGGAAGGUGGGGACGACGUCAAGUCAUCAUGGCCCUUACGACCAGGGCUACACACGUGCUACAAUGGGUAUUACAGAGGGCUGCGAAGGUGCGAGCUGGAGCGAAACUCAGAAAGGUACUCUUAGUCCGGAUUGCAGUCUGCAACUCGACUGCAUGAAGUCGGAAUCGCUAGUAAUCGCAGGUCAGAAUACUGCGGUGAAUACGUUCCCGGGUCUUGUACACACCGCCCGUCACACCAUGGGAGUGGGUUGCUCCAGAAGUAGAUAGCUUAACGAAUGGGCGUUUACCACGGAGUGAUUCAUAACUGGGGUGAAGUCGUAACAAGGUAGCCGUAGGGGAACCUGCGGCUGGAUCACCUCCUUAA